rnacentral:tRNA from 1 species
GCGGUGUCCGAGGGGUUGAAGGAGACGGUUUCGAAAACCGUUGAGAUAGCGUGGGUUCCCGCGGGUCGAAUCCCCACACCACCGUG